GGCUAACGCUGGCGGCGUGUCUUAGCCAUGCAAGUCGAGCGGACUUAUGGGGUAACUUAUAAGUCAGCGGCGGACGGCGGAGUAACACGUAGCUAACCUACCCUCUGGACGGGGAUAACCUACCGAAAGGUGGGCUAAUACCCGAUGUAGUCAUCCUGUAUAGGGGUGAUGAAAGGUGGGCUUCUGUUUACAAGCUCAUGCUGGAGGAGGGGGCUGCGGCCUAUCAGGUAGUUGGUAGGGUAAUAGCCUACCAAGCCGAUGACGGGUAGCCGGCCUGAGAGGGUGACCGGCCCGAGGGGCACUGAGAUACGGGUCCCACUCCUACGGGAGGCAGCAGGCUAGAAAUUUGGGCAAUGGGGGAAACCCUGACCCAGUGACGCCGCGUGCAGGAAGGAGCCCUUCGGGGUGUAAACUGCUGUCGUGUAGGGAGAAGGGUACUAAGGUGAACAAUCUUAGUACUUGACGGUACUACAGGAGGAAGCCCCAGGGCUAACCCCGUGCCGACGCAGCCGCCGGUAACGGAACGUACCGUACGGUAACGUACGAGC
rnacentral:rRNA from 1 species